rnacentral:rRNA from 1 species
GAUGAACGCUAGCUACAGGCUUAACACAUGCAAGUCGAGGGGAAACGACAUCGAAAGCUUGCUUUUGAUGGGCGUCGACCGGCGCACGGGUGAGUAACGCGUAUCCAACCUGCCCACCACUUGGGGAUAACCUUGCGAAAGUAAGACUAAUACCCAAUGAUAUCCCACGAAGACAUCUGAAUGGGAUUAAAGAUUUAUCGGUGAUGGAUGGGGAUGCGUCUGAUUAGCUUGUUGGCGGGGUAACGGCCCACCAAGGCAACGAUCAGUAGGGGUUCUGAGAGGAAGGUCCCCCACAUUGGAACUGAGACACGGUCCAAACUCCUACGGGAGGCAGCAGUGAGGAAUAUUGGUCAAUGGGCGAGAGCCUUAACCAGCCAAGUAGCGUGCAGGAAGACGGCCCUAUGGGUUGUAAACUGCUUUUAUAAGGGAAUAAAGUGGGUCACGUGUGACUUUUUGCAUGUACCUUAUGAAUAAGGACCGGCUAAUUCCGUG